GGCUGGAGCUCCCUUCCUCCGCCUCCUCCCCCGGCUUGGGUCAGGUCAGGGCGGCCGCGGCUCUGCUGCUAGGGGAGGAGGCAUCGGGGCUGGCACAGAGAAAGGGCUCCGGAGCCGCCUGCGAACACGUGCGCGGGGAGCGGCCCCAGCAGAGUAAAGAUGCCUGCUCUGCACUUGUGAACUCAGACAGGAAAGUGGUUCUCCCCACUCAUCAAGAAGGACUAUCAAGACUUAAUGGGCCAUCUAUCACAAAAAGCUUUGUUGAUUGCCGCAUCUACCCAUGAAGAAGUUGCAUGCAGGAGCCCUCGUUCCAUCAGUUGAACUUGGGGAGAAGAUGAUGUAAAGAUGCUCAUAAGAAGAAAUGGUUAUCUCACAGGGCCAGAGACACUAAACUAAGUCAGAGAUCUCCAGGGGUUACCCCUGGGUCUGCCCUGAAAGAUAUUUUGAAAUGACAGACUACGACAUCUCUGUCAUCGGUAGGAACCAUAGAUAGUAAAUUCAUUUAUGUGUA